AAGUCGUAACAAGGUUUCCGUAGGUGAACCUGCGGAAGGAUCAUUAACGAAUUAAUGGAAGUUGAUGCUGGCGUUCAUUCGCAUGUGCUCGCUUUCCUAAUCCUUCAACACCUGUGCACUCUAAUUUUGAAGAAGGCGAGGCUCCGAAAGGUAGCCUCCCUCCUUUGAACUUUAUACACAAACUCUUUGUCUUAACGAAUGUUUAUCUGCCGCAAGGCAAAAUUAAUACAACUUUUAACAACGGAUCUCUUGGCUCUC
rnacentral:misc_RNA from 1 species